GACGAACGCUGGCGGCGUGCUUAACACAUGCAAGUCGAACGAAGUGGCGAAAGGGUGAGUAACGCGUAAUCAACCUGCCCCUCAGAGGGGGACAACAGGUGGAAACGACUGCUAAUACCGCAUACUGAAGGAGGGGAUUGCGUCUGAUUAGCUAUUUGGAGGGGUAACGGCCCACCAAGGCGAGGAUCAGUAGCAGGUCUGAGAGGAUGAACGGCCCCAUUGUGACUGUGUCACGGCCCAGACUCCUACGGGAGGCAGCAGUGGGGGAUCUUCCGCAAUGGACUGAAGUCUGACUGGGCAACGCCGCGUUAGUGAUGACGGCCUUCGGGUUGUAAAGCUCUGUUAAUCGGUACGCGGUACCGGAAUAGAAAGCCACGGCUAACUACGUGCCAGCAGCCGCGGUAAUUC
rnacentral:rRNA from 1 species